rnacentral:rRNA from 1 species
GACCUGCGGAGGAUCAUUAUCGUAGGGCUUCGGCCCUGUCGAGAUAGAACCCUUGCCUUUUUGAGUACCUUUCGUUUCCUCGGCAGCCUCGGCUGCCAAUGGGGACCCCAAAAAACACUUUGCAGUACCUGUAACAGUCUGAACAAACAAACAAAAAUUAAAACUUUCAACAACGGAUCUCUUGGUUCUGGCAUCGAUGAGGAACGCAGCGAAAUGCGAUAAGUAGUGUGAAUUGCAGAAUUCAGUGAAUCAUCGAAUCUUUGAACGCACAUUGCGCCCUUUGGUAUUCCUUAGGGCAUGCCUGUUCGAGCGUCAUUUAAACCUUCAAGCUCAGCUUGGUGUUGGGUGACUGUCCGCCGCCUCCGGGCGCGUGGACUCGCCUCAAAAUUAUUGGCGGCCGGUACAUUGGCUUCGAGCGCAGCAGAAACGCGAACUCGGGCCCGUCGUAUUGGCUCCCAGAAGCUAUCUUCACAAUUUUGACCUCGGAUCAGGUAGGGAUACCCGCUGAACUUAAGCAUAUCAAUAAGCGGAGGA